AUGAACGCUGGCGGCGUGCCUAAUCCAUGCCAGUCGAGCGCACAGACGAGGAGCUUGCUCCUCUGACGUUAGCGGCGGACGGGUGAGUAACACGUGGAUAACCUACCUAUAAGACUGGGAUAACUUCGGGAAACCGGAGCUAAUACCGGAUAACAUGUUGAACCGCAUGGUUCAACAGUGAAAGACGGUCUUGCUGUCACUUAUAGAUGGAUCCGCGCCGCAUUAGCUAGUUGGUAAGGUAACGGCUUACCAAGGCAACGAUGCGUAGCCGACCUGAGAGGGUGAUCGGCCACACUGGAACUGAGACACGGUCCAGACUCCUACGGGAGGCAGCAGUAGGGAAUCUUCCGCAAUGGGCGAAAGCCUGACGGAGCAACGCCGCGUGAGUGAAGAAGGUCUUCGGAUCGUAAAACUCUGUUAUUAGGGAAGAACAAAUGUGUAAGUAACUAUGCACGUCCUGACGGUACCUAAUCAGAAAGCCACGGCUAACUACGUG
rnacentral:rRNA from 1 species